AUUGAACGCUGGCGGCAUGCCUUACACAUGCAAGUCGAACGGCAGCACGGGAGCAAUCCUGGUGGCGAGUGGCGAACGGGUGAGUAAUACAUCGGAACGUGCCCAAUCGUGGGGGAUAACGCAGCGAAAGCUGUGCUAAUACCGCAUACGAUCUACGGAUGAAAGCAGGGGAUCGCAAGACCUUGCGCGAAUGGAGCGGCCGAUGGCAGAUUAGGUAGUUGGUGAGGUAAAGGCUCACCAAGCCGUCGAUCUGUAGCUGGUCUGAGAGGACGACCAGCCACACUGGGACUGAGACACGGCCCAGACUCCUACGGGAGGCAGCAGUGGGGAAUUUUGGACAAUGGGCGAAAGCCUGAUCCAGCCAUGCCGCGUGCAGGAUGAAGGCCUUCGGGUUGUAAACUGCUUUUGUACGGAACGAAACGGCCUUUUCUAAUAAAGAGGGCUAAUGACGGUACCGUAAGAAUAAGCACCGGCUAACUACGUGCCAGCAGCCGCGGUAAUACGUAGGGUGCAAGCGUUAAUCGGAAUUACUGGGCGUAAAGCGUGCGCAGGCGGUUAUGUAAGACAGUUGUGAAAUCCCCGGGCUCAACCUGGGAACUGCAUCUGUGACUGCAUAGCUAGAGUACGGUAGAGGGGAAUGGAAUUCCGCGUGUAGCAGUGAAAUGCGUAGAUAUGCGGAGGAACACCGAUGGCGAAGGCAAUCCCCUGGACCUGUACUGACGCUCAUGCACGAAAGCGUGGGGAGCAAACAGG
rnacentral:rRNA from 1 species